CGACGGCGAGUUCUUGGAUGAUCUCAAGCUCAUGAGCCUCAAAUCAUCACCAGAUAGCACGGUGGUGGCGCUCAAGAUGCGAGCCGAUCUUGAAACUCCGGCGACCGGGGGAGGCGGAGUGGAGCAUCCAUCGGUAUGCGAAUGAGGACUGGUUCAUCACUGACAUGAGAGAGAUAGAAGGGAUUCUCUUCGCUCUGACCAGCCAGGGGACGGUGGCAAAGGUGGAGAUCGAAACAGUCCCGGAG
rnacentral:lncRNA from 1 species